rnacentral:rRNA from 1 species
GAUGAACGCUAGCGGCAGGCCUAACACAUGCAAGUCGAGGGAGAAGCCCUUUCGGGGGCAGAAACCGGCGCACGGGUGCGUAACGCGUAUGCAACCUACCUUUCACAGGGGGAUAGCCCGAAGAAAUUUGGAUUAAUACCCCAUAAUAUUAUUGGAUGGCAUCAUUUGAUAAUUAAAACUGCGGUGGUGAAAGAUGGGCAUGCGUGCGAUUGGCUGGUUGGAGGGGUGACGGCACCGCAGGGCCACGCUAGGUCGGGGUCCCGCGGGGGCGCGCCCCCACACGGGUGCUGGGACAGGGAGCAGGCUGCUACGGGAGGCAGCAGUGAGGAAGAUUGGUGAAUGGUCGGAAGACUGAACCAGCCAUGCCGCGUGCAGGAAGAAUGCCUUAUGGGUUGUAAACUGCUUUUAUAUGGGAAGAAUAAGGUGUACGUGUACAUUGAUGACGGUACCAUAUGAAUAAGCAUCGGCUAACUCCGUG